rnacentral:misc_RNA from 1 species
GAGAGGUCGACGCUGGUGAGCGAGGGACAGCGUGAAGAAACAAAACAAAAAAAUAUAAACAAUUACUCAAACGCUUUAAAGACAGAGAGUUCCAUCGGAAGGAGUAAAAAGAGAGAAAAAGGGAACAAUAAAUCCAAAAAUAAACAAGGAAGAGGGAAUCGAAAAAAAAUUGUAAACAAAGGUGUGUCGUGUGUAUCUGAGGAACCGACAGAGGCCGCUAAGCUACUCGUCCCUCGUACUUACUCUGACCUGCGGCCUACGAGCACGUGGUGGAAAGGAUGGGCGAACUCAACGGCACCGCGGACGCCCACCACACGGACCUGCUCUUCCUCAAGGGCCUCAUGGACUCGCCCAUCAUGAAGUCGCUCGUCAAGGU